rnacentral:lncRNA from 1 species
GGAGAGUUGUGACAUCCCCGGAUUAGGAUACAGUAAUCUCGGUAAUUGAACUACAGUAAACCUAUGCAAAGGAUGCCAUGUCGUCGUGUUUCCUAUCGUUGAUCUCGCGAUUGUUUGAGACAGUUCGAAUUUAAAUUUAAAAUUAAAAUCAAACAAGAAAAGUUAUAAUGUUAAAAUAAAAAAAUGUCGGGAGAGAUAUAAAAACUCCCUAAUGAAUUAUCAGGUGAACAGGGCAUUUAUAAGAUUAUUACAAUCCCUAUAUAAUUAAAAUAGAAAGCUAUUUCUAAAAAAAAUAAAAAUAAAAAAUAAAAGCCCCGUUGGCCGACUAGGCCAAAGUGGCCCAGCCGGCCACACCACAAACCCUAGUGCCACCCCCGCGUCGCUCCCAUCAACCCACGCCGCCAAGGAUCCUCGUCCCACCAACCGACCGCUCUGACGCCCCUGUUACAAAUUAAUUAGUAGAUUAAUUCAAGGGAUAUGUCCAACCCGAACAGUCGUGUCUCCUCUUUGUGUCUAUUGCCAACAAGCACCUGUUCUGUUCUGGAGGGAUGCCUCCGAACAGACACCUUUUCUUCGCACCUCUUUCAGAUGUAUAUAUACUUGAGAAUCAAUAGAAAGAGGACUGCUGGUCCAUUCAUUUCCAUUCAAUCUCGUUUUACUCUAACACGUUAUCAUGCACUUGCUCUGCCAAGAGCGAUUUGGCCACUAGAACAAAAAAGAAAGCGAGAGGAAAGAUGGGGAAACAACGGAUCCCCGCAUCUGGAUGCGAAGACGCUCGCACGAGGACGGAGUCCUGAGAACGAAGCGCCCGACAGCCCACGGCGCCAUUGUUGCGCCCGGUGAGGCCACCCUCCCACGCUACCCGUCAGCGUCAAGCGACGACGAACAGCACCAAGCAACUCCGGCGAUCUUCAACCAUGGAACGAGAUGCAAAGAGAAACAAGGCCACCAUGAGAAGAAAACACAUAAUACAGGGAGUUAAAAUUCCUUGCAUCUACCAAGACGAGAAGAACAGAGAAGUAGAAAGAAAAUAGAGAACUCACAUAACGCGCAUCGGGAAAUCGAUCACGAAACACUAAUUUUGUUUAAUUUUUGUUCUUCCCGUGAUCUGGAGAUUAACUGCUUUUCUGCACAUAAUAUGUGAACAUGGUGAGAUGAACAGAUGGUUGAAGCAUCAACCGAAAGAAAUCCAUGACCAAGGAAGAGAAAACCUCAAUCAAUCAAGAAGAAUCAUCAAAUCAUACAAACAGAAGAAGGUAUCAUGUAUUUCUCGCCAUCACUGCAGCGGCAGCAACCUCGUCGAGGACGCGCGCAUAAGCAUCACUCCUCCGGGCGCGGAGACCACAUCCACCACACGCCGCUCCUCCGAGCGGACCUCGGCCCGGCUCCUCGCAGAGCAGCCGCAUCACGCGAUGGAGGUGGCCCCGCGCUCAAGUCCGAGCAAACGGCCGCAGUCGGCGUUGCCCUGGCGCACAGCACCACGCACACCUCGAUGCCACGACCCGAACGACGGCAGCGCCUUUCGGCGCGGCGACCUCCUCCUCACAACUACGGCGGCAUAGAAAAAAAAAUCCCCUUACAGGAAAGGGAGCACAGCCCGGCGACGACGUGCGGCGCAUCAGCGUCUCUAAGCAGGCAACAAUGGGGAUGGUUUCUCAAUGGCCUACAGCCCACCACACACGCGCAGGAGAUGAGAUUGGAAAUCCUUAUCCAAUUGGCAUAGUUGCACUUUGGUCCUACUAUUUUAUCUACUAUCAGAGAGGACCAGUAUUUCUUACUCAAGCCCUUAGGCUUGUUUCAGUAUGCAAAACAGCCUUGGGAAUAUAGAUGCUAAUCAAGUCAUCAUCUUUGUCUUUACCGCAAAUAUUCUUUAUGACAUGCAUUUUGGGACAACAACUAUAAAUUUGCAAUAAAACGUAUUUUUUCCUUGCAAAUCCUAAGAAUUAAAAGUGUCAUACUCAAUAUGACUAGCCCAAAUUUUAUUUGUGAAUCACAAAGUAUUUGAUGUCAUCUACUGCAUUUUUUGCAGAUUAUCCAUCUCUACUGUAAGAUCUUCAUUUUGUCAUUUUGGCAAGAUGACUAUCAUCAAUGUGCUCUUCCAAAUACUAAUGGCAUAUAGCCUAUUUUUUGUGAAUCACAAGGUAUUGGUGACAUCUACUGCAUCAUUUGCAGAUUAUUCACCCUUACUGUGAGGUCCACAUCUUGUCAAUUUUAUAAGAUGAUUACCUUCAAAGUGCUCUUCCAAAAUAUUAAUAUUUGGCGUGACUACCUCAAGAUAUCAUAAGGUAAUACUGGCAUCUACUGUAAAUUUUACAGAUUAUCCACUAUUACUGCAAGGUCUACAUCAUAUCACUUUGACAAAUGAUUGCCUUCAAAGUGAUUUCAUACAUUUAGCAUAACAUAAGGUAAUAGAAUUAUAAACAUCUACUGACAAUAGUCAGACUAUGUUUUCUAUUACUGCGAGAUCUAUACCAUAUUGGUGAUUAUCUUUAAAGUGUUAUCCUAUAUAAAUUGAGGUCUACACAUAUGGCUAUAUGGCAUCAGCCAUACUAAAAUUUGCUCCUCUGAAGCAAUUGUUGUUGUUCACUAAAAUGAUUUACUAUCAUAGUAAAUUCAUGCAUGAUUAUUGCAUGUUGAAUGGUAUUAUCUACCAAUAUCAAUUAUUAAAGCCUCUUUUUGCUUGAAUAUGUCAUAGGGAACUACAUAAAUAUUUGCAUUUACUUGUGAUUACCUUCUAUUACAUUGGUAAAAUACAUGGCAAUGAAGCCUACUACAAUAUUUCUAAUUAUAGUGUCGUCCAUCCAUCAUGAUGGACCACAUAAUUUAUGACAAUAAUUAAGUGUCUCAACACUUUCGCAAGGUCCACAGGACAUCGUGGUUAUAAUUUCAUAGUGACUAACCAAUGUUAAGCAUGCAAGUCUAUACGUUUUGGCAGUGACUCUAAAGUCACACAGUUCCUCAAGAAUGAAGUCCAAAACAUUAGCAAUAAUUUAAUCACAUGUGUUGUAUUGAAGGAUACACCCAGGUUCACCAAGGAUCACCUUGACCAUGAUUGUUCUCAAACAAAUCAUUUAUUUAUAGAUGCUCCUUACUCCUAGAAGUAAAUUAAAUAAAUGCAUUAGCAUUUUCAAGUAACGCAUGGCUCACAUUUCCAAAUACAGUAAGUACAUGUUAGGUGAGAUUAUUUAUUGUAAGAUGAUUUACGACAUCAGUCGUUUUAUCCACCCGAGGCAUUAUUGCUACUAUAACCUCACCUUCGGAAUAUGUGUCAUGGCUAUUCUCUUAAUAGCUAAGUAUUAUCAUAUGUAUUUCAUCUCUCACCAACAUCACUUAGUUCUCAAACUAUGUACAUAAUGGAUGAAUAUUUAUUCACCUUGAAUAUUUCCCUUAAGAGAAACAUGCUGCCCUGAGCACACUUGGAAUGAUCACCCAAUAAUUUUUCAAGACCUCAAGUCUAUCGCAACUUACAAUUUUGGUAAUUAUAAAAUCAACUUGAAGUUGAGAUCUCAUGAUCUGACAUUUUCAUAUGCAGAUCAGGUUGAAAAGCCCUUGAUACACUUUACAUCUCCUUAUGAUGGUAUUACCAUUUUCAUGGUAAAGAAACAUGUUAUUUCUUAAACUCAUCAUAUUCACCCAACGGGUUCCUCAAAUAUUUGCAAGCAUUGAGAAUACUAUGCAUGUGAGUGGUCACAAAAUAGAACAAUGAGGCAUUCAAAGUAAAGUGGAGGAUAAAGACAACCAAUGACAUUAUUACCUUUUAAUUAGUAAUUGAUCAUUUUAAAAAGAUUACAAAGACAACUCUCAAGUUUGUCAAAUGUGCGGUUACAUGAAUAUCGUACCUAUGAUUACCAAACACUCAAACAUAUGGUCAAACCACACCAUGAGUUUAUUAAAAGGCAUUAAGUUCAUUGUGUUAUUUGAAAAUUUGCAAACAUACGACCAGAAACUAUUCUGGUAAAUGAUGUUCUCGAAUCUUCAUCAGAAGGAGAAGCAAAAAUAUAGUGCAAUAAAAGAAUGAUCAAUUCGUUUGUGCCUAUGAUAUGUUUGCAUAACUCAUUUUUUCCGUAAUAUGGGAGACCUCAUGUAAUAUCCCGAUUAUUCCCAAAAUAUUGUUUGCCUGUAGUCGUACUACUACAUGUAGUAUAAAUGUCCAAUAUCCUAUUUCUUGGACAUUAUAUUUGAUAAUUUUUGCAUGUAUGAAUCAAUUCAUACUCAGUUUUGUUGCGUACACAAUAAUUUUCUAAAUCUUACAAAAUAUUUGGUUUUAAGCCUUACAAUCCAGGUUUGGGGUUGUUUAGAAAAUUAUUAACAAUUCUAUUGGUCACAACUUAACAAGUUGCAAAAUUUCCCAAAUCAUCAGAUUUUAUGUGCACCACAUGUGCCAUAGNNNNNNNNNNNNNNNNNNNNNNNNNNNNNNNNNNNNNNNNNNNNNNNNNNNNNNNNNNNNNNNNNNNNNNNNNNNNNNNNNNNNNNNNNNNNNNNNNNNNNNNNNNNNNNNNNNNNNNNNNNNNNNNNNNNNNNNNNNNNNNNNNNNNNNNNNNNNNNNNNNNNNNNNNNNNNNNNNNNNNNNNNNNNACUCAUUCUUCCUUGAACACAUUCAGAAGAUAUGUGGAUUACUCAACCAUUAUGUGGUAUUUUAUAGAUACUUUAUGGUACUCAUGAAAAAAUUUAUAAAAUGAUUUCUAGUGUGUCUCCUGUCACACAAACCAUGAAUGAUAUAACUAAAUCAAUUGCUCAAAUUCUUAAAGUAAGAGCAAGUUAUCCUAAACAAGGGAUAAAUCCAUUCGAAUGGACAACUUUGUUGAACUCAUUUCACAAGAAAUAUCUGAUUAUAUAUAAUACUUUAUGUACAUACCCAAAAUGGUUUAGUUCAAUAUCUUAUCAAAGAUAGUGAAAUUAAUAAUAUGACCAAACUUAUAGAAUCAUGAUUUACUAGCCUCAUGCUAGACAAAUACGACAUUACACACCGUAAGUAUGAUAUAAAUCAUACCAACUAAAUAGCAUACUACUUUCCCCUUUUAAUAAUUACGUGAAAAUCAACAAAGUAUUUCCUAUCUACGAUAAUUCGGUUACAUACCGAUAUCACCACUCCAGCAUACAUCAAUGGGCUCUCACAGAAAAUUAGGGAUCUAAGUGAGGAACGACAAUUUAUCCGUCAAUCAAAAUUAUUCAUAGCCCUCAGCAAUAAGGACAUUUCUGGCAUUAGGGGGAGAUAAGUACCACAAAGAAUGCCAAGAAAUAAAUUAGGAAUGUUAUUCACAUUCAGUCCUUAUAUCCACGUACUCAAAGAAUAUGAACAAGAAGUUUAGAAUCACAUAUUUGCAACACAUUGCAAAUCUGCCACAUACAUUUACUGAUGACAAAGGUGUCACUCAAUUUUAUAUUCCUGCAGUAAAGUGUGAGAAAGAGUGGAGGUACCUGAUAAACCACUCUUCUCCCAAAAUGAGAGCAAGAGGGGGAGGAAUCUGACGACACGAGAUAUAAUCUCGCAUAUGCUUCCGCGGAAAUAGAGGAAAUCAAAUCCUCAACCAGUAAAUGUAAUUCAACAUCAAGUUGAAAGACACCUCACUGGAUGCUCAUCAUCCAAAGCCCGACAUAAAUGUGCACAAAUGUUUUCGUGUCGGGACAUCGAAACACCUUGACUCCAUUGUUGUAGGAAAUCACAAGGAGUUAAAAGGAAUAAAUACAUUUCCACAAAUUUCAUUGAUUCCUCUAGAAUCAUAUAACAUAAGUCUACAUUUGUCGACAUAUAUUUCUUCUGAAAAUUGCUAAAACCUUUUGGGCCCUGAACCAAAAUCCAUGGUAGAGUGCCUCUUGUACUCAUAUUGGUUCACAUAAAAGGAAGCAAGUAAUGAAGAAUAGCACUCGCUCUACAAACGAGUGGUAUUUACCACAGUAAUACCUACUCCUCAUAAGUAUCUUCCAUAUGGAAUACUAAAAACUUCUCAUUCAUAGACAAAGUCAAUGAGGUGGUGAGAAAGCGAGUCUUGUAGCAAAAGGGUUCACGCAGAGACCUGACAUCAAAUUAUGAUGUAACAUACCUUCUUGGUAUGAGUGGAACUAUGUUUCGAUAAUAAAUACCAUUGGCAGUACAAAUAAUAUUAUCCAUGCAGUUGAUGGAUGGAGUGGCUACAUACUCAUAUGAGUCACUCAUUUCAGAAAUAUAUAUUAAAGUCCCUGAAGGGCUUACAAUUCUGAAUCCAAAAUAAAUCGCAACAUAUUUUUGUAAAAUUUCAAAAUUCACUUUAUGACUAGAAAUAGUCGUGAAUCAUAUGGUACUACUGACUAGACGAGUUCCUUCUUCAGAGGAUUACUCAAAGGAUGAUGAUUGUUUAUGUGUUAAUAAAGGAAUACCAAAAUUUUAUUUCCUUACAUCACCUGAGUGUAUAUGAUGAUUUCAUCAUCAAUGUCUCUACAAGACCUAAACAUACAUAAAAUCAUCUCAAGACGGAAAAUUUGGAUUCAACCAAAUUUAGCUUAAGUUUACAACUUGAGCAUUCUCUCAAGAAUACAUAUCAGUCUACAUAUAUCCAAACAUAUACGAGAAGUUCAAUUUGGAUAUAUCAUAUCAACAAAAGACAUGUAUGGUCAUACUACCUUUGAUAAGGUACAAAUCCCUUCAUACCUAGGGGUGAUAAUGAAGUGAUACUAGGACCUGAAGUUCUAUAUCUCACUAAUGCCAAAGCACUCAUAUACUUGCAAACUACGUUAGGCCUGACACUAUAUUUGCUAUCUUUAUUCGGAGUGCAACCUCAAACAAAAGGUAUAUGGUUGAUAUAAGUACUAUCAUCUUAUAUCUGAAGAUUACAGUAAAUCUUGGAUAUUUCCAUCAGGAAAUAGAAGAUAUGAGCAUGAUAUGAUGUAAUGAUAUUGGCUCUUUAUUUGAUCCCAACGACGCCAUAUCAAUGACUGAAUUUGCUGGAAUAGCCUUCACAUGGAAGUCAUAUAAAUGAAUUUUAAUGGCUAUUUCCACUUAUCAUUCUGACAUAAUUGCUUUAUCCUAAAGCAUUGCAAAAUAUGUAUGGCUUGGCAGAAUGAUUAACCACACUCAAAAUUGUGUGGUUGAGAUUCAUCAGAAUCACAUAACUUGAUUUAUCAAGAUACUUCCACUUGUGUUACUCAAUAACUACAGGUAAUAUGAAGAGCAAUAUCAUAAAUCACAUUGCUCAGAAAUUACUUAUCCUCAUGGAUUAUAGAAAGUUGAGGAAAUAAUUUGCAAACAAAAUAUUGUGAUAGUCUAAUAGAUUAUACACAAUCUUAUGUUCAUGUGAAUGGCAUUGGUAUGAGACAUCCUCCAUAUUUGCAAAGUUCAGGGGGAGUAAUCUCCCAGACUAUAACCUAUUAACAAUCAUCAGAUUGCAUAUAUUGUACUCUUUUUCCCUUGAUGAGUUUUUCCAUAAUGGUUUCUCAUAAAAGGUUUUUAACGAGAUAAUAUAAACACAAGUGUCUUUAUACGCCAUAUCAUUUUCUUCUUGUAUUUUUCCCAUUGGGUUUUAAAGGAGUUUUCAAUGGCAUGUACGAUUGCACUCUUUUCCCUUAUGAGUAUUCUCUCAAAGUUUCUCAUAAUGGUUUUUAGUGAGGCAAUAUCUUCUCAAAGAUCAUAUGUCAUACUUUCUAUUUUCCCUACCAGGGUUUUUAAAGGAAGUACUCAAGACAUAUUAAUUGUUCUCUAAACUUAUCAAUGAGUUUUCUCCUUCUUCAAAGGUUUUCUCAUAUGAGUUAUCAAGAGACAAUGAUCAUCAUAUGUUGCAUCAUUUUCUCCUUAUUUUUCCCACUGGGUUUGAAGGAGUUUUAGCAACAUAUCUACUCUAUUCUCCUCAUAUUUUUCCCACAGGGUUUUUGGGGGAGACUCUCAAGAUUAUCUGGAAGAUUUCUCAAGAUGGAAGAUCUAUAUGCAAGAAGCUUUCAGCGAUGAAACAUUCAAGGAGUGGUGUUGUACAAGGGGGAGUGUUAGAAAUUAAUUAGUAUAUUAAUUCAAGGGAUAUGUCCAACCCGAACAGUCGUGUCUCCUCUUUGUGUCUAUUGCCAACAGGCACCUGUUCUGGAGGGAUGCCUCCGAACAAACACCUCUUCUUCGCACCUCUUUCAGAUGUAUAUAUACUUGAGAAUCAAUAGAAAGAGGACUGCUGGUCCAUUCAUUUCCAUUCAAUCUCGUUUUACUCUAACA